GAUGAACGCUGGCGGCGUGCCUAAUACAUGCAAGUCGAGCGAAUGCAUUAAGAGCUUGCUCUUAUGAAGUUAGCGGCGGACGGGUGAGUAACACGUGGGUAACCUGCCCAUAAGACUGGGAUAACUCCGGGAAACCGGGGCUAAUACCGGAUAACAUUUUGAACCGCAUGGUUCGAAAUUGAAAGGCGGCUUCGGCUGUCACUUAUGGAUGGACCCGCGUCGCAUUAGCUAGUUGGUGAGGUAACGGCUCACCAAGGCAACGAUGCGUAGCCGACCUGAGAGGGUGAUCGGCCACACUGGGACUGAGACACGGCCCAGACUCCGCCGGGAGGCAGCAGUAGGGAAUCUUCCGCAAUGGACGAAAGUCUGACGGAGCAACGCCGCGUGAGUGAUGAAGGCUUUCGGGUCGUAAAACUCUGUUGUUAGGGAAGAACAAGUGCUAGUUGAAUAAGCUGGCACCUUGACGGUACCUAACCAGAAAGCCACGGCUGACUACGUGCCAGCAGCCGCGGUAA
rnacentral:rRNA from 1 species